rnacentral:rRNA from 1 species
UACAGAGGUGGCAAGCGUUGUUCGGAAUUACUGGGCGUAAAGGGCGCGUAGGCGGUUCGUUAAGUCCUGUGUGAAAUCCCCCGGCUCAACUGGGGAACUGCACAGGAAACUAGCGGGCUUGAGUUCGGGAGAGGGAAGCGGAAUUCCGGGUGUAGCGGUGAAAUGCGUAGAUAUCGCUUGGAACGCCCGCGGCGAAAGCGGAUGACUGGGGUUGUGCCGACGCUGAGACACGAAAGCCAGGGGAGCGAACGGG